rnacentral:rRNA from 1 species
AAUCAACGCUGGCGGCGUGCCUAACACAUGCAAGUCGAACGCGAAAGUCCCGAAAGGGAUCAGUAGAGUGGCAAACGGGUGAGUAACGCGUGGGUGACCUGCCUUCGAGCGGGGGAUAACGUCCCGAAAGGGACGCUAAUACCGCAUGGCAUCCUGCCUUUGAAGAGGUGGAGAUCAAAGCCGGGGAUUCGCAAGAACCUGGCACUUGAAGAGGGGCCCGCGUCUGAUUAGCUAGUUGGUGGGGUAAUGGCUCACCAAGGCAACGAUCAGUAUCCGGCCUGAGAGGGCGGACGGACAC